GCGUUAGGGCAAUUUGGGGCGAUAUGCCCUUCCUCCCGGCACCGGUAACAAAUGACGACCCCGCGGGGUCGUCGACUCCACCCGCUUUGCUGCUGAUAUGCCGGGACUUGCUGCAAGUUUCCCUGGUUCACUGGCUCCACAGCAUACACCGGGUAAGCUCCCUGUUGAGGCUGAGUCGUUUGGGGCUGCACAUAGAAUCCAGCACCCAUCUGCUGGCCCGGCAAGGUCUGGUACACGGGCUGAGCUGCCAUUGGUCCUACCGCUGGAACUUGCUGCUCCCUCAUUCUAGCAAAGCAGUUCUCAGUGGUGUGAUUUGUUCGCCGACAGUAACCACAGCGAGGUCGAGCUGGCUGGGGAUUCUGACACUCAUUGGGGUAGUGCCCAUAGCCCUUGCAUCGCACGCACCAAAUCUCGGCGCGGUCCACCACCUUCCGAGGUUGCGCCUCAGUUUGGCCUCUCACCAAGUUCACUUGUAGCUCUGCCAUCUGCUUGGUGAGGGUUUCCACUACAUCUUCUUUCACCUUUGCCAGUUGUGACUCGAAGUUUGGUAGGUGUUGACUCGUCAUUGGAAUUGACAGAGCUGGAGCCGCCGGUACUGCUGGUAACAGAGUCGACUGGAGCUGCAACUGGGGCUGGGGCAUAUACUGAACCCCCGCCAUCACACUUGGGUAAGCUCCAGACGCGUAGGAUGACCUCGAUCCCAGCCUCGCUUGCUCCCACGUCGCUGCAUGCUCGAUAGCUGCAUUCAAAUCUUGAGGUCUGUGAAUUUUCACGUGGAAACUGAGCUCGUAGGGCAGCCCGUUGAGAUAACAACGGACUUGAUCUUCUGCAGGUGGAGCCGGAUUCUUUCUCUGCAGUAGCGCUCUGUACCUCCGAGUAUAGUCCUGCAACGUCUCUCCUGGCAGGAGCUGAAUAGAAUUCAACUCCUCGGUGAUCCGGGUACUAAACCCGAAUGGCCUGAACUGCCCCAGAAAUGCUCUUUUCAACGCAUCCCAGGUGGCAAAUGCUGGUUGUGCUCCCGCAACAACAGCAGAAGCUUGAGCGUACCAAUCCAUCGCCGGACCGGAGAGCGUUGUGGGAAACCACCUCAGCCUCGCUGCAUCCGCCUGCUCUUGAUUUGCCAAGCUCACCACCUCGAACGCCGUGAUAUGAGAAUCUGGAUCGCUCAGGUUGGUGAACUUUUGAUAUUUUUCUCUUCCUCCUCCUGCUGCCGGCUGAGCCAUAUUGUUUGGUGGCGCAGGUGGAACCAGAUUAACCGGGUUCAAAGUCACUGUCAGGCUUGCCGAUCCGGUUGGAGAAGUUGGCAGUGUAAACUCCGCCUCUGGUGAAGUCGGGGGGGCUGGAGGUGAUGAACUCUGAAACUCCCCCCAGUUGUUGCCCUCCUCUACACUCUCUACUCUACGCUGCUCCGGGCUGUUCCACGGUGUACUGGUCUCAGCUGGUACCGAAUUCCUUCUCAAGUAUCUCUCGCUUCGAGACUCUUUUUGUUUUUGUUUAGUUUCUUCAUCAAAGCGAUAGUAUUCCGGGUGUCGGCUCAGCGGCCUCCUCUUUCCACAGGGGUGUUCCGGAUGGUCCACGGCUACCCAGUCUGUGCUACUCGAGGUAGGCUCCCGGCUGACGCACCAUUUGUAGUCCUAACUUUUUCCAACUGCUCUCUACUAACGCACACAGAAAACUCCAGGAAAACUCAACGUCAUCUUUCAUUCCAACUACUGAACUGGAUACAUCGGGAUGUUUGCCACUAAAUCAGCGGCCUCAGGUGCCAAGAGCUCCUCUAGGACUUCACGCAUCAGACGAUACCAAACUUGGCCGCAAGUGGGGCAAUGCGUGAGAAUCUGUUGAUCAGGCUGGACAUGCAUGCGCUCCACCGCUCUUCUCACCCUGUGCUUCCUCGUGAUCCGAUCUGCUGUGGGGUUGCGACGCACAGGACCAGACUGCUGACCGUCUCGCACCAUCUCCAAAACGCUGUCAAAACUUCCUCCAAGCAACCGUUUUUUCCCCGGCAAGAAUCCGGCCUUAACUCCCUCCUGCAGAAUAUUCCCUUCAUAUCCAGGAUAUCCCUGGCAUCCCUCCUAAUCUAGCCCUAACUUUAUUCUUGGGGUUAUCCCACAUCCGGAAUAUUCCGAUAACACCAAUCUUCUGGAACACACCUCGUAGUACCUGCAAACUUCUCGCAUCUCCGGCUCAUAACUCGGAAAUUUCCUGCUGCAACUCUUCGCUCACAUCUUCUGGAACAAGUUAGUGGGAUGACAAGCAUCUAGCAUUUUAAUGUUAGGACCAGCAUGCAAAAUAGAGCCAAACAGAGUCAAGCACUAUUUCUGUAUAUUGGUGGUCUAAUGCUAAGAUAUGGGUACUCCACCAGCUAGUAUAGU
rnacentral:lncRNA from 1 species